rnacentral:rRNA from 1 species
GACGAACGCUGGCGGCGUGCUUAACACACGCAAGUCGAACGGAAAGGCCCUGCUUUUGUGGGGUGCUCGAGUGGCGAACGGGUGAGUAACACGUGAGUAACCUGCCCUUGACUUUGGGAUAACUUCAGGAAACUGGGGCUAAUACCGGAUAGGAGCUCCUGCUGCAUGGUGGGGGUUGGAAAGUUUCGGCGGUUGGGGAUGGACUCGCGGCUUAUCAGCUUGUUGGUGGGGUAGUGGCUUACCAAGGCUUUGACGGGUAGCCGGCCUGAGAGGGUGACCGGCCACAUUGGGACUGAGAUACGGCCCAGACUCCUACGGGAGGCAGCAGUGGGGAAUAUUGCACAAUGGGCGGAUGCCUGAUGCAGCAACGCCGCGUGCGGGAUGACGGCCUUCGGGUUGUAAACCGCUUUCGCCUGUGACGAAGCGUGAGUGACGGUAAUGGGUAAAGAAGCACCGGCUAACUACGUG